rnacentral:rRNA from 1 species
AUUGAACGCUGGCGGUAGGCCUAACACAUGCAAGUCGAACGGCAGCACAGGAGAGCUUGCUCUCUGGGUGGCGAGUGGCGGACGGGUGAGGAAUACAUCGGAAUCUACUUUUUCGUGAGGGAUAACGUAGGGAAACUUACGCUAAUACCGCAUACGACCUACGGGUGAAAGCAGGGGAUCUUCGGACCUUGCGCGAUUGAAUGAGGCGAUGUCGGAUUAGCUAGUUGGGGGGGUAAAUGCCCACCAAGGCGACGAUCCGUAGCUGGUCUGAGAGGAUGAUCAGCCACACUGGAACUGAGACACGGUCCAGACUCCUACGGGAGGCAGCAGUGGGGAAUAUUGGACAAUGGGCGCAAGCCUGAUCCAGCCAUACCGCGUGGGUGAAGAAGGCCUUCGGGUUGUAAAGCCCUUUUGUUGGGAAAGAAAUCCAGCUGGUUAAUACCCGGUUGGGAUGACGGUACCCAAAGAAUAAGCACCGGCUAACUUCGUGCCAGCCGCCGCCGUAA